UUUGUGUAAAGAAAAAAUCGUAACAAGGUCUCCGUUGGUGAACCAGCGGAGGGAUCAUUACCGAGUUUACAACUCCCAAACCCCUGUGAACAUACCACUUGUUGCCUCGGCGGAUCAGCCCGCUCCCGGUAAAACGGGACGGCCCGCCCAGAGGACCCCUAAACUCUGUUUCUAAUAUGUAACUUCUGAGUAAAACCAUAAAUAAAUCAAAACUUUCAACAACGGAUCUCUUGGUUCCUGGCAUCGAUGAAGAACGCAGCAAAAUGCGAUAAGUAAUGUGAAUUGCAGAAUUCAGUGAAUCAUCGAAUCUUUGAACGCACAUUGCGCCCGCCAGUAUUCUGGCGGGCAUGCCUGUUCGAGCGUCAUUUCAACCCUCAAGCACAGCUUGGUGUUGGGACUCGCGUUAAUUCGCGUUCCCCAAAUUGAUUGGCGGUCACGUCGAGCUUCCAUAGCGUAGUAGUAAAACCCUCGUUACUGGUAAUCGUCGCGGCCACGCCGUUAAACCCCAACUUCUGAAUGUUGACCUCGGAUCACGAGAAUCCU
rnacentral:rRNA from 1 species